rnacentral:lncRNA from 1 species
GCACCCCAAUGCCGUGGCCGGCGCCCAGUGGAGACUUCUUUCACAGGGUCUAGAAUAAUCUUCCGCGGAACACCCAUCCAUAUGCAGUGUUUGAGAACUAAGGCAGCUCCCUUGCUCUGUUUUCCUGCGCCUAGCCCCCGGACUUUUGUGCCGUUUGCAGCUCUUUUUCAUUUCGAAUACCCGCAUAGACGCGAGCCCACUUCUGCCCUCUUCCUACGCUGGGCGGCUCCAAACCCGCCGCGAGGGCUGAGGUGUUCACACCUGCCCACGGCAGCCUGCCUCGCCCUCAAGCGCCUCAAAGCUUCCUAAGCGCUUACAUUGGUCUUGGGACAGCCGACUUUGGCUUCUUUGUUUGUUUGAGGGACCGCGGAAGUGGCGGGGAAUGUGCCCCCGCUUGAGACCGCUUAUUGUGAGCCCUCAACGGAAAUCCUGCACGGAAGGCAACCGCCUCCCCGCUCGCGAAGGCUUCAUUUGCUCUGAGUUAUCAUUGAGAACUAAAUGGAGAAGAAAAGAACUGAAGGCCUGAAGAUAUGUCAUCUGUAGAAAAGCCCCAUCCUUCUGCAGGUGGCCUCUUCUCAAGCUUUCUUGGCAAAUCAAGAGCUUCUGCCUUUUGGAGGACAUCCUCUUGACCUCCCACCCAUAUCAGCUCUUAGAGGACAUUCCACAGGAACAUUGCCUUCUUGUCCUCCAGUAUUUUUUAUGGAAACAGAAAUUAGGUUAUCUUCCUUAUGCUCUAGAUGGACAUCUGAAAUCAUCAAACCCUUGAGAGAAACAGCCCUCAUUCUUUUAUGAGACAACCUGGAAGAAAACAGGACUCUGAAGAUUUGUCUCCAUAUUCUCUGGAAAGAUGUACUCUGUUUGCAAUAAGAGGGAGCCACAUGGUUUAUUAGAUGGUUAUUAAUUGAGCAUUCUGUGCAAAGAAGUUUGUGCCUUAGAUUUAGAAUUCCACCCUCAGUUGGAAUACAGAUGAUCCCUAACAAGUCACAUGAAAAAAUGAACUGUGGAGCCAGAAGAGUGAGUUCUUGGAGAACUAAGGGCCAGAGACCUGUGAGCAAGAUUUGAUAAUUUUAUAAAAAUUAAAAGACGAUUUGAAAUGUUAUUGGUCUUACUAAAACUUUUACUUGUGAACUGCAAUUGAUGACAUGAUCACUUGUGCCAAUUAUAAUUUUAUACCAAAGGACUGCAGAGCAUUGGAUGGGUUUGUUGGGCAGGUUUCUCACAAACGCUGACAGAAAGGUAUGACGAAGGAUGGGAGGACAAACUGGGGGGGUGCCAAGUAGAAAAACAGAAGCGAUGGCUAAGUGCUCGUCCUGGACUCUGCCCUUUGAUAAGGGACUGAAGGUCCCUUAUGAUCUUCUUUCAAAUUCCACCGUCACAGUUUUAGUCACAUCCAUCUAUAAUAUUAUUUACUAUCAGACUUUUCUUUAAAUUGACUCGCUUUUUCACUUUAGCCUUAUCCCAAGCAAUAAUGCAUAUAAAUCAUAAGUUUGUUGUAAUAGAUUUUUUGUAAUACUAAUCAAAAUUAAAUUUAUUCCC